rnacentral:rRNA from 1 species
AUGGCACGGGCUGCAGUUGUUGGUGCUCUGUAUCUUUUGUUGCGCUACUUUGGGUAUGGUUUGGACUUCAAAGAAGCCAUAAUUAUUAUUUGGUCUGGGCUGCGAGGUGCUGUUUCCCUAUCAUUAGCACUGUCUGUUAAACGUGCUAGUGAUACAGCUCAACCUUUUCUGAAACCAGAAGUCGGAACAAUGUUUGUGUUCUUCACUGGUGGCAUUGUGUUUCUGACACUGAUAUUGAAUGGUUCUACCACACAAAUUUUGUUGCACGCACUUGGUAUGGACAACCUGUCAGUAACAAAGCUUCGCAUGUUGAAUUAUACUAGACAUGAAAUUCUAAACAAGACAUUAGAAGCUUUUGGUGAUCUCAAAGAUGAUGAGGAGCUUGGUCCUGCUGACUGGGUUACAGUUAAGAAAUAUAUCACAGGCUUGAGUAACUUGGAAGAUGAACAUGCACAUCCACAUGAUGACAAUCAUGAUCACGUACAUACCAUGAAUUUAAAGGAUGGNNNNNNNNNNNNNNNNNNNNGUGUGCAAGCCAGUUACUGGGCAAUGCUUGACCAGGGACAGAUAACUCAAGCUACAGCAAAUAUUUUGAUGCGAUCAGUUGAUGAAGCUAUGGAUCUUGUUUCUAGCCGACCAUUAUGUGAUUGGAACAGUUUGCAGUCCAGUGUCCAUUUCCCAAGUUACUAUAGGUUCCUUUCUGCAAGCAUGUUACCACAAAGUUUUAUCACAUACUUCACAGUACAAAGAUUGGAGUCAGGAUGUUACAUCUGUGCUGCAUUUCUUCGUGCUCAUAGAAUUGCAAGGAGACAACUAUAA